GGCUCUGUGGCGAAAUUGGUAGUACGCAUCAGACUUAAAAUCUGAGGGGCAGAAAUGCCCGUGUGGGUUCGACUCCCAUCAGAGCUA
rnacentral:tRNA from 1 species